AUUUGCUACGUCACGGAGUUGUAGUGAAGCUUGUGUGUGCUGUACUAAAAAAAAUCAGUGUAUUCUUCAAGACUUUGCGGCCUGGUCGUAAGGUGGUAAUUGACUGGUUGUGUAGUCGGACGUGAACCAAAUCGAGAGCUCGCCGAAACUCCUGAUGUAAGGACGUACAAUUUGUUGUAGUCGAAGCCUUAUUAAACUGGUGUUCUUGAUUGCAGUUUCACGUUAUGUUUCUUGUUUGCAUAUGGAAUCAAUUAGUGUCUGGCUGCACACUAACAAACCUUCGACUUGGAAGAAAACUGGACGCAAAAAUCUGGGAUGAUGGAGAUUUAAAAAGUAAUACAAAACCAAUACACAAUGAUAAUAACAGAUAAAUAAGACUGUACUGGAUUGCAUAAUUGUGGUCCACACUAAUGAAUUGAAGUUAAUGAGGCUUUCAUUUUGUAUCGAAGAAAUUAUAAGAUAUUAAUUACUGAACUUUGUCAUUGUAUUGUCAUUUUAGUAAUUAGGCAAAUAUGUUUUUAGGAACUUAUUUAUCGAUAAUAUUGAAAUCCUAUUUUAUCAUUGAUAUCAAUUCAUGAAAAAGAUUAACUGUGUUUGAAUGAACAAUUUAACUCAUUAUGUUCCUAAAAUGUCUCUUAAAAUACUGCAGCGUGAAAAAUAUUCUAUAGCAUUACAAAAAUAUUUCUUGUUGUGUGGCAUACUUAAAGGGCAUGCCAAAUUAACAAAAAUUAACUUCCUUUUAAUCUAAUAUUUAUUGCCUAUAAUCUGUUUAUUGGGAUAGGAUGGUUCUGACUCCUUUAGACAGCUCAAAAUGUUACUGAAUAUGUAUAUACAAUUAUGAGAGAAUUAUCUAAUUAGAUGCAUGAAAGUAACUCUUUUCUAAGUGUUACAAUACUAAAGCUAUAACAUUAAUAGCGGCCAGUAUCUUUGACCGUAUGAGUUUUCUAUAUCAGAAUUUAAUCAUAAAAAGUAAAUAUGUGCAAUUCUUCUCCUUAAGUUUUCUCAGCCGGAGUUUGUGUGUAACUUCAGCUUUGGAGACUGGCAAUGCAGAAUGCUGAUAGUUAUCCAGUACUUGCUGAAAUGCUGGAUAAUUAUCAACAUUCUGUGUGGCCUAUCCCCAAAAGCCAACAUUAAACAGUUUUGUUGUGUGCAUACGAGAUUCUAUUCCUAAUUGUUCUGAAUAGAUGAAAGUAAGUCAUUGAAUUAACACACAAUAAAUGAACAGAAAUUUCCGUCGUAAAGAUGUUUGGACACUUCAAGUAGAAUUGCAGAAUUAUCAAUAAAGACCACAAAACAAGAAAUGGAAAGUGGAACAGUUGACUGCUGCCAGUUGAUUUGCAGGUGUGCGUCUUGGAAUUGCGAGGAGAACUGGCUGGCCUUCAUGGGACAGUUGGCAACUGCAUCUUCGAGAAUGCAACGUUAUCAUCAGUAUCAUCCCUGCGACAAUAUAGCUGCCUUCAUCUGUUAUUCACUGCAGUACAGGACAUCAGGGGACCUCAUCAAACAAUCAGACGUGUUGGUGCAGAGCGGAAAAGAAGAAAUAUU